rnacentral:rRNA from 1 species
AUACUGCAGUCGAGCGAUGGAUUGAGAGCUUGCUCUCUUAUGCCGCGGCGGACGGGCGAGUGAACGUGGGUGACCUGCCCCCCAGACUGGGAUAACUCCGGGAGACCGGGGCUGAUACCGGAUAAUAUUUUGAACUGCGUGGUUCGAGGUUGCUUCGCGGCUUCCGCUGUCGCUUAUGGAUGGACCCGCUUCGCUUUAUCUAGUUGGUGAGGUUCCGGCUCGCCACGGCCCCUAUGCGUACCCAAACUGAGAGGGUGAUCGGCCACACUGGGACUGAGACCCGACCCCUACUCCUACGGGAGGCGGCGAUAAGGAAUCUUCCGCGGUGGACCAGAUUCUGACGGACCACCGCCGCGUGAAUGGUGAACGCUUUCGGGUCGUCUUUCUCUGAUGAUAAGGAGGAACUGCUGCUAAUUGAAUAACCUGGCCCCUUGACGGUACCUAACCACAAAGCCACGGCUAGCUACCUGCCACCAUCCGCGGUAAUACGUAGGUGGCAAGCGUUAUCCGGAAUUAUUGGGCGUACACCGCGCGCAGGAGGUUUCUUAUGUCUGAUGUGAGAGCCCACGGCUCGACCUGGGAGGGUCAUUGGAAACUGGGAGACUUGAGUGCAGAAGAGGAAAGUGGAAUUCCAUGUGUAGCUGCGAAAGCGUAGAGAUAUGGACGAUCACCAGUGCCGACCGCUGCUUUCUGGUCUGUACCCGAGUCUGAGCGCUGAGAGCGUGGGGAGCAUUACAGACUAUGAUAC